GCGAACGCUAAAAAAAGAUCGAGUCCUGGUCGAUAAGAUUUCACCAAAUAUAUUGAACAUUUGCUGGCUGAAAGUGAUCAAAACGGAGGAGGAACGGGUUUAACGCUGUUAAUUGCCCUGCUGCUCGGUUUCAAAGCUAAUGGCGUAUUUUUUUUCGAUUCCGGAUUUGGAUCUAGAACUGUCAGAAUAAAAAAAUGAUUUUCGGGUUUCGAGUUAUUCCAUACAUUUCUUCAUUCGGUUCUUCACAUCCGGAUUGCCUUUUUUCGUGUCCGGAUUGCACUGGACAGCAGAUAGUACGAUUUUGCUUGGCUGAGAGGUUCAAAAUCGCGGCAAUAAUCAUUUUCCCGUUCAUUAUUUCAACUGUUUUACUUUCAGCCAAAAACAGCUGUUUAAUGUUUUGACAACAACGUUGAGAGUAUUGGUGAACUUCUCGCAAAACUGACUUUCUUCUCAGGGCGACUCCGUCCGUUUUUCGAGCGAACCUAGGUUGCCUCUCGAGCAAUAAAUGAGCACGAUGACAGCAGUUAGAGCGAACCUAGGUUGCCUCUAGUUUGCCUCCAGGUGAAAAAAAAUACGGUAUAAGAAACUUCAUUUCUACCUGCGGCACCCGCUCCAUGCGGUGGGUGAAUCGCGGUACGAUGACCUUAUUAACUAAAAAGUGGCCCCUGAAAGAUGACCGAAAACUGCUGACAAAAACGAACAAUAAAAUGUUCAAUGGUAGCCGGCUGAUCUCUCAUUUAUUUGAUUAUGGGAGCCAAAAUGCCAACAUUGUAACGUAUCAAUAAAUAAAAAUCAUUCUUGCUGCUAACAGAUUCGGGUCAAGUCACUAUACGACACGUCAUCGUCUGAAUUCCAAAGCCAACACCCCACAAGUACUGUUAGCGGUUGCGGAUUAUUGCUCGUUCAGUUAGCACUAACAUUGGACGUCCAGCUGAUUGUCAUUUCGAAGUCCGAAUUGAUACAGGAUGGGGUCGAAACUUUGCUGCAACAACGUUCCGAGCUUGGUACCGCCUACGAGUGUAUGUAUCGUCUCAAGCCAGGCUCUGCAUCAGAUGACCACCAUUUGGUCCAUAAACUUGAUGAAAUGAUAAGGCCAAUUUGGAUAAAUUUUUUGACAUCAGGAUUUUAAAGUUCAGACGUUUUAAGUCGUAAUGCCAGACAACUGCUUUUCAAUCUGCUUGUACGCAGAUAAAUCUUUCGAACGGGAACAGAUGAAAACCAUCCAUUUAGGAAUGUUCAGACGUCUAUCCGAAUCAAUCGUUGCAAGAGUUCAGAAAGAAAAUGCGGACAUUAUUUAAAAGGAAAUUAAUAAUUUAUAUUUUAUUUUAAGUAAUUUUAGGUGUUUAAUCAU